CUAGCCCUAAACGAUGUAGACUAGGCGUCGGAAGCUUAAUCGCUUUCGGUGUCCAAGCUAACGCGAUAAGUCUACCGCCUGGGGACUACGGCCGCAAGGUUAAAACUCAAGGGAAUUGACGGGUCCCCGCACAAGCAGCGGAGCGUGUGGUUUAAUUCGUUGCUACACGAAGAACCUUACCUGGGUUUGACAUAGCAGUGGUAGGGAAGCGAAAGCGGACCGACCCUUCGGGGAGCUGUUACAGGUGU
rnacentral:rRNA from 1 species